rnacentral:rRNA from 1 species
CACGUAGUUAGCCGGGGCUUCUUAGUCAGGUACCGUCAUUUUCUUCCCUGCUGAUAGAGCUUUACAUACCGAAAUACUUCUUCACUCACGCGGCGUCGCUGCAUCAGGGUUUCCCCCAUUGUGCAAUAUUCCCCACUGCUGCCUCCCGUAGGAGUUUGGGCCGUGUCUCAGUCCCAAUGUGGCCGUCCGCCCUCUCAGGCCGGCUACCGAUCGUCGCUUUGGUGGGCCGUUACCCCGCCAACUGGCUAAUCAGACGCGGAUCCAUCGUAUGCCGAUAAAUCUUUUCACACCGUACCAUGCGGUACUGUGCGCUUAUGCGGUAUUAGCAGCUGUUUCCAACUGUUAUCCCCCUGCAUACGGCAGGUUAUCCACGCGUUACUCACCCGUCCGCCACUAACUCGGAAAUCACUAGGUUUCAAUCCGAGCCCGUUCGACUUGCAUGUGUUAGGCACGCCGCCAGCGUUCAUCCUGAGCCAGGAUCAAACUCU